rnacentral:misc_RNA from 1 species
AAGUCGUAACAAGGUUUCCGUAGGUGAACCUGCGGAAGGAUCAUUACAGGAGUUCAUCGCCCUCACCUGGGGUUAGAUCUCCCACCCCUUGUAUAUAUAAUUAUCUGUUGCUUUAGGCUGGGCCGCGAGCCUCGCUCGCCUGGGUUCUGACCCGGCGUGCCCGCCAGAGGAAACCUAAACUCUGAAUGUUAGUGUCGUCUGAGUACUAUAUAAUAGUUAAAA